GACGAACCGAGCGAACGUUGUUCGGAAUCACUGGGCUUAAAGGGUGCGUAGGCGGGUUGCCAAGUUUGGGGUGAAAUCCUCCGGCUCAACCGGGGAAGUGCCUUGAAUACUGGCGGUCUCGAGGGAGGUAGGGGCGUGCGGAACUAACGGUGGAGCGGUGAAAUGCGUUGAUAUCGUUAGGAACUCCGGUGGCGAAGGCGGCACGCUGGACCUCUUCUGACGCUGAGGCACGAAAGCCAGGGAGCGAACGGG
rnacentral:rRNA from 1 species